GGGGAGCUUGCACAGGUGCUGCAUGGCUGUCGUCAGCUCGUGUCGUGAGAUGUUCGGUUAAGUCCGCUAACGAGCGCAACCCUCGCUGUGUGUUAUAUGUGUCACACGGGACUGCCGGUCUUAAGCCGGAGGAAGGUGGGGAUGAUGUCAAGUCAGCAUGGCCUUUAUGUCCAGGGCUACACACACGCUACAAUGGUCAGCACAAUAGGUAGCCAAGCCGCGAGGUGGAGCCAAUCCUCAAAGCUGGCCUCAGUUCAGAUCGCAGGCUGCAACCCGCCUGCGUGAAGCCGGAGUUGCUAGUAACCGCAGGUCAGCUAUACUGCGGUGAAUACGUUCCCGGGGCUU
rnacentral:rRNA from 1 species